GGCUUUUGGGCUGUCGCAGAUGGAUGAGCCUGCGUUGGAUUAGCUAGUUGGUGGGGUAAGGGCCUACCAAGGCUACGAUCCAUAGCUGAUUUGAGAGGAUGAUCAGCCACAUUGGGACUGAGACACGGCCCAAACUCCUACGGGAGGCAGCAGUGAGGAAUAUUGGACAAUGGGGGCAACCCUGAUCCAGCAAUGCCAUGUGUGUGAAGAAGGCCUUAGGGUUGUAAAGCACUUUAGUUGGGGAAGAAAGCUUUGAGGUUAAUAGCCUUAAGGAAGGACGUUACCCAAAGAAUAAGCACCGGCUAACUCCGUGCCAGCAGCCGCGGUAAUACGGGGGGUGCAAGCGUUAAUCGGAAUUACUGGGCGUAAAGGGUCUGUAGGUGGUUUGUUAAGUCAGAUGUGAAAGCCCAGGGCUCAACCUUGGAACUGCAUUUGAUACUGGCAAACUAGAGUACGGUAGAGGAAUGGGGAAUUUCUGGUGUAGCGGUGAAAUGCGUAGAGAUCAGAAGGAACACCAAUGGCGAAGGCAACAUUCUGGACCGAUACUGACACUGAGGGACGAAAGCGUGGGGAUCAAACAGGAUUAGAUACCCUGGUAGUCCAUGCUGUAAACGAUGAGUACUAGCUGUUGGAGUCGGUGUAAAGGCUCUAGUGGCGCAGCUAACGCGAUAAGUACUCCGCCUGGGGA
rnacentral:rRNA from 1 species